rnacentral:rRNA from 1 species
UGACCGCUGGCGGCGUGCCUACUACAUGCAAGUCGCGCGAACGGACGAGAAGCUUGCUUCUCUGAUGUUAGCGGCGGACGGGUGAGUAACACGUGGAUAACCUACCUAUAAGACUGGGAUAACUUCGGGAAACCGGAGCUAAUACCGGAUAAUAUUUUGAACCGCAUGGUUCAAAAGUGAAAGACGGUCUUGCUGUCACUUAUAGAUGGAUCCGCGCUGCAUUAGCUAGUUGGUAAGGUAACGGCUUACCAAGGCAACGAUGCAUAGCCGACCUGAGAGGGUGAUCGGCCACACUGGAACUGAGACACGGUCCAGACUCCUACGGGAGGCAGCAGUAGGGAAUCUUCCGCAAUGGGCGAAAGCCUGACGGAGCAACGCCGCGUGAGUGAUGAAGGUCUUCGGAUCGUAAAACUCUGUUAUUAGGGAAGAACAUAUGUGUAAGUAACUGUGCACAUCUUGACGGUACCUAAUCAGAAAGCCACGGCUAACUACGUG